rnacentral:rRNA from 2 species
GAAUUAAAUGGCCGCAGUAUUUUGACUGUGCAAAGGUAGCAUAAUUAUUAGUUUUUUAAUUGAAAGCUUGUAUGAAGGGUUGGACGAGAUAAAAUCUGUCUUUAUUUAAAUUACAAUAGAAUUUAACUUUUAAGUCAAAAGGCUUAAAUGUAUAUAAAAGACGAGAAGACCCUAUAGAUCUUUAUUUAAUUAAUAUUUUGAUAAUUUAAGAUUAUUUUAGUUUAAAGUUUUAAUUAAAUUUUAUUGGGGUAAUAUAGAGAUUAAAUAAAUUCUUUUUAUUUAUUACAUUGAUUUAUGAAUAUAUGAUCCAAUAUUAUUGAUUAUAAGAUUAAGUUACCUUAGGGAUAACAGCGUAAUUUUUUUGGAGAGCUCAUAUCGAUAAAAAAGUUUGCGACCUCGAUGUUGGAUUAAAAAUUAGCUUGGGUGCAGAAGCUCAAGAUUUUGGUCUGUUCGACCAUUAAAUUUUUACAUGAUCUGAGUUCAGACCGGCGUAAGCCAGGUCGGUUUCUAUCUUUAUUUAUCUAAAAUAUUUUAGUACGAAAGGACCAAAUAUUUAAUAUAAUUAUAUUUCUUUUUUGAAUAAUAUU